UACAGAGGUCUCAAGCGUUGUUCGGAUUCAUUGGGCGUAAAGGGUGUGUAGGUGGCGCGCUAAGUCGGGUGUGAAAUUUCGGAGCUUAACUCCGAAACUGCAUUCGAUACUGGCGUGCUUGAGGACUGGAGAGGAGACUGGAAUUUACGGUGUAGCAGUGAAAUGCGUAGAUAUCAUGAGGAAGACCAGUGGCGAAGGCGGGUCUCUGGACAGUUCCUGACACUGAGGCACGAAGGCCAGGGGAGCAAACGGG
rnacentral:rRNA from 1 species